rnacentral:rRNA from 1 species
UACGUAGGGAGCAAGCGUUGUCCGGAAUCAUUGGGCGUAAAGCGCGCGUAGGUGGCCUCAUAAGUCCGCUGUGAAAGUCAAAGGCUCAACCUUUGAAAGCCGGUGGAUACUGUGGGGCUAGAGUACGGAAGAGGCGAGUGGAAUUCCUGGUGUAGCGGUGGAAUGCGCAGAUAUCAGGAGGAACACCAAUAGCGAAGGCAGCUCGCUGGGACGUUACUGACACUGAGGCGCGAAAGCGUGGGGAGCGAGCAGG